UACGUAGGGUGCAAGCGUUGUUCGGAAUCAUUGGGCGUAAAGCGCGUGUAGGCUGUUAGUUAAGUCAGAUGUGAAAGCCCUCGGCUCAACCGGGGAAGUGCAUUUGAAACUAACUGGCUAGAAGACGGUAGAGGAAGGUGGAAUUCCAAGUGUAGAGGUGAAAUUCGUAGAUAUUUGGAGGAAUACCUGUGGCGAAGGCGGCCUUCUGGACCGAUCUUGACGCUGAGACGCGAAAGCGUGGGUAGCAAACAGG
rnacentral:rRNA from 1 species